UCUGGAAUUAUCUUCUAAGUCAACUGUGGGUUGGGUAGGUGGCUCUGCUGAUUUUUCGCUGGACUUCCACAUUUGGGACGAGUUGGCUGUCAUCAGCUCUAGAAAGGGUGUGGCCGUUUUACAUUGGCUGUUUUCCUCACAUUCCUCAAGCAGGUACUGUAAUAAAGAACUGGAGAAAUACAGUCAGAUGGGAAGUAGCCCUUGCUGUCAAGGAGCUUGCCAUCUAAUGGGGGAGACAGGCAAGUAAACCAAAGACUACACAGUGCAGUAUGGUAAGUGCCAUGAUUUUGAUGUGACAGGGCACAGUGGACGACCUUCCAAAUCAAAGCAAGUAACUAGGGGUUGACAAUGGUAAGUAUCAUAGUUGAAGUAUCCUUGAACAAGGUUUCAGGAAGAAGAAGAAGGGAAUUUCAUGCAGGGAAACAGCCAAAGCUCAGUGAGUCAAAAUAUCACAGCAUUCUUGGUAAGCCCAAUUGUUUUUUCUGUUUUGCUAUUUUGGUGGAGAGAAAGGAACACAUAAAGGAAUAACAUGAGAGAAGGCUAUUUGGGGAAGUGUAGUAGUUAAGGUUCUGGCUCAAACAACAACUGCAGCUCAUAAAGUUGACUUUAGUGGAAGGAUACUGGGGUAUCUCAUGGAAUCUUGGGAACUGUUGAAUAACCAGGGAAACUCUGGGAAACUCACUGGUAGGAAUCCAUAAACUGUCCUCCUGGUGGGCUGUAAACAACUCACCCUCUAUGCAUCUCACAUCAAAAUUCCAGUUUCUUGGGAAAACAAGUCUGUUUGCCCAAUUUGGGUCAUAUUUCCACGUCCAUGUUACUCAGGCAUGAUUCAUCUGCAAGUUAUGUGUAUAGAUAUUUUGCUACUGUUCCACCCUUACGCUGUGCUGGGGAGGGAGGUGUCACUGUGAGCUGUGUCGGUGCCUUAAGAGAUAUCUGUUGUGUCUUAUUACUUGGUUGCUUUUCCCCACAUGUACAAUGACAAAAAUGCCUUCAACCUAUUUGAUCCAGCCGUUCCAGUACAACUCCUAUACUUGCCAUCUUUCCAAGCCCAAAGGUACAUCCAGCUGAUGGAAGGAGCAUCUUGGUGUUAAUAUUCUUUUAGUCAUGGUCUCUGAAAGUAAAAUGUCUAUUCUUCUAAUUCUGGCACAAUCUUAUCUAGCUAUAGUUCCUCAUGGUCCUGCACUCCAUGGACUAAAUUAUUAACUCUUAGGUGACAAAGCCAGGAUUGAAGCUCAUGCGGUCUGGCUCCAGAACAACUCUUCUUCAUAGUUACGUUAUACUGCCCCUGCAUUGUUGGUAUUGAAAGUAAGUGUAGGCCCUGGGCCUUCUAUACCUGGGAUUAAGUCACAUAUUCCUCUUCCUCUUCAAAUUUU
rnacentral:lncRNA from 1 species